rnacentral:rRNA from 1 species
AGUGAACGCUGGCGGUAGGCCUAACACAUGCAAGUCGAACGGCAGCACAGUAAGAGCUUGCUCUUACGGGUGGCGAGUGGCGGACGAGUGAGGAAUACAUCGGAAUCUACUUUUUCGUGGGGGAUAACGUAGGGAAACUUACGCUAAUACCGCAUACGACCUACGGGUGAAAGCAGGGGAUCUUCGGACCUUGCGCGAUUGAAUGAGCCGAUGUCGGAUUAGUUAGUUGGCGGGGUAAAGGCCCACCAAGGCGACGAUCCGUAGCUGGUCUGAGAGGAUGUCCGUCCACACUGGAACUGGAACACGGUCCAGACUCCUACGGGGGGACGCGGUGGGGAAUAUUGGACAAUGGGCGCAAGCCUGAUCCAGCCAUACCCGGUGGGUGAAGAAGGCCUUCGGGUUGUAAAGCCCUUUUGUUGGGAAAGAAGAGCAGCAGGUUAAUACCCCGCUGUUCUGACGGUACCCAAAGAAUAAGCACCGGCUAACUUCGUG